AACAUAGAAGUAAAACUUACACUUAGCUUCGACCUAAACUUUAGGACUAAUAAAAAUCCUCGUGUUU
rnacentral:tRNA from 1 species